rnacentral:rRNA from 1 species
UACGUAGGGUGCGAGCGUUGUCCGGAAUUAUUGGGCGUAAAGGGCUCGUAGGCGGUUUGUCGCGUCGGGAGUGAAAACCCAGGGCUUAACCCUGGGCUGGCUUCCGAUACGGGCAGACUAGAGGUAUGCAGGGGAGAACGGAAUUCCCGGUGUAGCGGUGAAAUGCGCAGAUAUCGGGAGGAACACCUAUGGCGAAGGCAGCUUGCUGGGACGGUACUGACGCUGAGACGCGAAAGCGUGGGGAGCAAACAGGAUAG